GGCUGGGGACUACACCUUGCCUCAUUUCACACUGUUCCCAAGCCUACACAUGCUCUUCCUGAAGAAUGAAAAAAGUACCAAGAACGAAUAGCAAAACACUUGACAUGGAUAAUAACCUUCAUAGCUAAAAAACAAAUUACUUCACAAGCAGAGAAGCAAAGUGUGUCCAUAUACAGAAUUGUGUCUCCCAGAUUUUCCCAUUCCAAUAAUUGCUUCUCCCUUUUCUCAGAACAACUUGUUACCAGACUUUUACACACCUCCUCUUGCCAUGACUCCUUGCUGUCUCCUUUUUGGAUGAGUAAGUGUCAGUGUGUUAUGUGACUGGUUUGAAUUAAUGAAUUUGUUGGCCAACUUGUGCAUGUGGCUGCUGCCUCUUUCACAUGAUGACAACAGACUCAGUCUUGAGGGCGGUAUUACUUGGAGUUUCUCUUGAACCCACCUGCCAAUUUGCAUAAGAUAGGAAAAACUUAGUAACUUACUUUCAAUGAGAAUUGUUUAUUUAGCUAUCAAGAAGAUGAGAGAGUAUAACGUCAUAAACCUUACUUCUUUAGGAGGACAGGCUAAGAAGAAUCCUCCUCUGAGGAGGAAUUUUUUGUUUUGUCAAUCAAGAGUAAAUUAGUAACAACAGCUUUAUUUUUGUUUUGUUUUGUUUUGUUUUCAUUUUAGAUCACUUUAACAUGAAAGUCUGUUGCAGAAGGAAGGAGCUGAAGAGGGAAUUGGAGGCCCUCAAGGAUUUUUUCCUCUGGACAGCAGUGGUUGCAGUUUUUCCACAGAUGGUCUGUUUCAAUGAAACAGUAAGACCAUUGCAAGUUUCCAGCAAGGCACAUGCCAGAACACUGGGUUUAAAUUUUAUUUUACUAAUAAUUUUAUUUUAUUACUAUUAUUAUAUAUAUAUAUAUUUAAUAUUUUCUACAGGAUGUCUCUGUAGAAAUGUAAACAGCGAGAGAUGUCCCAACAUACCAUGCUCCUAACCUCACUUUUGUUUUCUGUAUUCUUAAUGUAUUAACAUAGUUUUCCUUAAGUCCUUAAAUCAAUGUGUUAAGGCAAAUUCAACAAGAACACAUGAUUCAGCAGUUGUAUUAGAAUAUACUCAAUAUGAAACUGAACUAAUGACUUUACACUAUAAAUCUAUACUCCUAAAACAGAAGAUCUUCAGUUUUGCUUCUUAAUUGAGAGAAUUCUGUCAGCACUGGGUUUUGAACUGUUUGUUUUGUCAUGAACAAAGUGUGAAAUUAAGCUUAAAUACACCCUUACUACUCAUUGUCGACUUGUGACCCAGGAGUAGCAUGUAAAUAAAAUUCUGCCAAUGGAUGAAAAAUAGAA